AGAGGCCAGUGCCUUGUCCAAGGUCACACAGCUAGUGAGGUAGGUCCUGGGAUUUCAUACAUUUCUCCCUGACCCAGUGCCUAGCCCAAGGUCACACAGCCGAGGAGGUAGGUCCUGAGAUUUCAUGCAAUUCUCCCUGACCACAGAACCCCAGGGAAAGACCUGAGUGAGUGGUUGCAGCUCUGUGCUGGCAGCUGAGUGCCCUGGGUGAGUCUGCUUCCUUCUGUCUCUAGUUCCUUAUAGAAUCUGUGAAAUGGUGAUUUCGGGAUCCCUCAGGUUCCUCUCAGCUUCUGUUCCUUUAGAACCUUGUAGCCACAGUGGGGACUUGGGCUUGGAUAUCAUCCCCUAUGAGCUUCAAGGUGGGCAGGAAGGGACAAUACAAAAUUUGAGAACUCGUUUUCAAGUGAACACAGUGGCCUAGGGGCCUAGAGACGGCCAUACUUCUUCCUCAGUGGAGGAGCAGAGUUGGGGUUUGAAGAGAUUUAUUCUGAGCCAAAUAUGAAUGACCGUGGCCCAUGACACAGCCCUCAGGAGGUCCUGAGAAAAUGUGCCCAAGGUGGUUAGGGCACAGCAUGAUUUUACAUAUUUACGGGAGACAUGAGACAUCAAUCAAAUACGUUUAAGAGGUACCUUGGUUUGGUUCAGAAAGGCAGGACAACUCAAAGUGGGGGCUUCCAGGCUACAGGUAAAUUUAAACAUUUUCUGGUUGACAAUUUGUUGAGUUUGUCUAAAGACGUGGGAUCAAUAGAAAGGAAUGUCUGGGUUAAGAUAAAGGAUUGUGGAGACCCAAGUUCCUAUUUGCAGAGGAAACCUUCAGGUGGUAGGCUUCGGAGAGAAUAGGUUGUAAACUGUUUCCUAUCAGACUUAAAGUCUGUGUCCAUGUUAAUGCUGGAGAGGUAUAAUGAGACAUGUCCAACCCCCUAAAACAGUCAUAGCCUAAAACAGUCUCUUAGGUUAAAUUUUAAAAGAACCCUGGCUGACGAGAAGUCCAUUCAGAUGGUUGGGAGGCCUUAGAAUUUUAUUUUUGGUUUACAAGGUACUUGUGCACCCCAGUAUAUUCAAUCUUGUGUUGGCUAAGAGUGGACUCCCAGCUAUCUUUCUUCCUGCCUCCAAGUCUUCGUCUCACUAUUUGUCUUUUUUCUUUUGGAAUUCAGUGCCUCAUUUUUGUUCUCCAACCCCAUCUCACCUGCUUUCACUUUUUCUUCCCCUGUGACCAUAAUAUAGCACUAAAGUUUAUCUUUUUUAUUUCUUACAUUGAAUAGUUUACAUAUUUUUCUCUAUAAGCUAAAUUAGUCACUUUUUACCUGGAUGAUUCUAGCUUUUAUUUGUUUGCUUGCUUAUUCAUUCAUUUUCCUCCUGAAGGUCAGAGGCGUUCUUGGCCAGAAGAAUUUUCCACGCUCCAUUUCCGCCCCUUUUGGGGCCUGAGCACUCCAGAGAGCUUGGGAACGGCCCAGGCUGAGUUGCAGAUGGUGUGUGCGCUUUGCCUUAGGGCUCACCUUGUGGUGUGUCCUUCCAGGGGGAGCUCAUCGACACUUUGGUGGGGGCACACUCCCACCACUGGAAGAGCCCUGGGGGACUUGGGCCUCUCCUGGGCCUGUCUGUUGUCCAGAUCACUCCAGCUGGUCAUCUCAGCUUUAUAAACAGCAACCAAUUAAGAGCAGCCCACCUGAGUAGUAGUCUACUGUAGAUACCCUUAUGCAAUUUCGCUUUUUCUCACUUCAUAGUAUAUUCUGGAAAUCUGUUGCUUCUGUUCAUGGGGUCUGCCAUUCUUCUGCAGUGCGUCACCGGAGUCCACAGUGUGGCUUUUCAACUGCUCUGUGCUGUAUGGGCUUUCAGUUUGCUCCAAUAUUUUGCAAUCACAAUGUUUCAAUGAAUACCCUUGAGCAUUUGUAUUUUUCUAUUGCUGAAUGUUAUAGGUAGAUAGCCAUGAGUGGGGCAGGAGAGGGUUCUCCCUCACCCACUAGAAACGUCAGGUGCUGGUUCAACAAUUAUCAAACUGCCUGUCUAAAAAUGAUAAUUCCGGAGCCAUGGAGAGGAAAAUCUCCUGAUGAUCCACAGCUGUUAAACAUUGAAGUGUUCAUUGAAUGAAGACCCCAGGGAAGAGAAACUUCCUGGACAUGCACAUUAAGAAGACAAAAAUGUCAAGCAUGACAUUACUGGUACACGCCACUGGAAAAAGAAAGCAAGCCUGAGAUGGGCAUGCGUAUUACUCCCUAAACACACUGCGCAUGCUCAGUUUCAAAGGGCAAGGAGACCACUGGGCAUGCGGAAAGCCCGCCCUAGGGGAAGAAUCAUGGGAAAGAGGCGAGUCUAUAGAGUUCUAGGAUUAAGGUUAAAGGCCUCCUUUUUUCUCUCUUGGACCUUCAGGCGCCCCCUUGGGUCUCUUCCAAGCAAAUUUUCGUUUCUUUCCUUUUCCAAAGCCUUUUAAAAUAAACUUCCACUCCUGCUCUGAAACUUGCCUCAGUCUCUUUUCCUGCUUUAUGCACCUCAGUCGAAUUCUUUCUCCUGAGGAAGCAAGAGCUGAAGUUCCCGUGGGCUCCUGUGGAUGCCGCGGAAAACUCUGGGUAUCUCAGAUCUCUGCUGCCACUAACACUGAAGAGACCAUCAAGCUUCAGAUGAUCGUGCAACAAAGGUUCCAGCCAGUUCUAGGUGAAGACACCACUGCUGGCCAUGAAAGAGCUACCCUGCCUCCACUAGACAGAGCAGGGGACAGAAGAUGCUCCAGAAUUUGAGGAGAUAAGGAGUGUGGCCGAUUCUACAUGACCUGUUCAUCUUCUCAGUAGUUCUAGCUGAAAUAAAAACUUUGUUGACUAUGG